CUGAAAUGCAGGCGUGGGACUGGGAGGAUGGAGGGAUGACAUGUAGCUGCACAUGGAGUCACAUGGAGGAGGCCUUGCAAGAAAAACAGAUGCACACCGAUUCAUUUCCUUGAUAUUAUUCCUGUGGCCGCUGCUCUUCCUUCCCGAGCCGCUGGCCUCAGAUGAACCUCAUCGAUUGUUGGAUCAGUGUGAUUCUCAGCCGGGGCUCUUAUUGAGAGUCACAGACGUCGCACGGGCCCUUCGUGCAGACCCAUGCUGCAGGAUUUCCUCGGGAGUUGUUCAUUCUUUUUGGGAAUGCCAAACGAUGCUUCCUGCUUUUCAUAAGGAUUUUUUUUUUCUUGUCUCACGAGCAGAGAAAUUAUUUAAAAUUUGAAGGGGGGGGGAUAAAUCAUAUUUUCAUGUCUUUUUUCAUUUUAAAAAAAACCUCGUAUUUCCUCUCAGCGAGUGUAUAUUUCCUUAAUAAUCCCAUACAAACAAAACUAUAUGACAGUGUGGCCACUCUCUUCUGAUUAUAAUAAUAAACCCUACACAGUG